AUUGAAAGAUAGUGAUCAUAUGAAGCUAUUUAUUAUAACAUAGUUGUAUGUCUCCUUUUUAAAUCAUAAUGGUAACAUACAUCACCCAAAUGGCCCGAAUCAAAUGUUUACAUACCCUUGAAUGUUUGGCCUUGUUACAGACACACAAGGUGACACACACAGGUUAAAAUGGCAACUAAAGGUUAAUUUCCCACAUCUGUGGUUUUCUAAAUUGCAAUUAGUGUCUGUGUAUAAAUAGUCAGUUUGUUAGCUCUCACAUGGAUGCACUGAGCAGGCUAGAUACUGAGCCAUGGGGAGCAGAAAAGAACUGUCAAAAGACCUGCGUAAGGGGGCAGAAUCUGUCUUCCAUGCAGAGCUGACGUGUUUCACCUGAGCUCCUGCUGAUAGAAUCGAUUUGGGGGUGACAAACCUGAUAACACUGCAGCCACACUCUAUGCGGGGCUCCCCUAAUGUGAGGGGUUCUUUGCUGUACAUACCGCAACUUACCUUGAUCCUUUCAUCCACCAAAGACCCAAAAACUCUGCUGGGGCCUACUGGGGACAGAGCUGGGGGGGAGUGGCCACUCUCAUCGCUUCCAGAAGCUUGGUAUUGCUACGCUCUUACCCACCCGGACCGACAGGGUUAUCCCGCUCCCCACUAGACGCACUGGGACUACUCACUCUGCACCAACCUUACGACUUGAAGUGGCCACUGACGGCAUCACACCUACACAGAGGCUCCAAGAUGGAGAGUGACCCCUAGCUGGACUACCCACAUGUCAGAAGCCUUACUGCGACACAGUCAAAUCUGCCUUGCAGCGCCUGGAUACCAUCUUUGAAUGCUUCUGGCUGAAAAUACAGGAGCGUUCACAAGCAACCUUGCCUAAGCGACAGGAGACAAGGGGUUAGGCUUCCUGCUGGAGCAGAGCGG